rnacentral:rRNA from 1 species
CUAAGGCUCCAGAGGAAGCCACGGCUAACUCUGUGCCAGCAGCCGCGGUAAUACAGAGGCGGCAAGCGUUGUUCGGAAUUAUUGGGCGUAAAGAGCACGUAGGCGGCCUUGCAAGUCAGUUGUGAAAGCCUUCCGCUUAACGGAAGAAUGCCAGCUGAUACUACAGGGCUUGAGUACGGGAGGGGAGAGUGGAACUUCUGGUGGAGCGGUGAAAUGCGUAGAUAUCAGAAGGAACGCCGACGGCGAAAGCGACUCUCUGGCCCGAAACUGACGCUGAGUGUGCGAAAGCUAGGGGAGCAAACGGGAUUAGAUACCCCGGUAGUCCUAGCCGUAAA